GACGAACGCUGGCGGCGUGCUUAACACAUGCAAGUCGAACGGAAAGACCCUGCUUUUGUGGGGUGCUCGAGUGGCGAACGGGUGAGUAACACGUGAGUAACCUGCCCUUGACUUUGGGAUAACUUCAGGAAACUGGGGCUAAUACCGGAUAGGAGCUCCUGCUGCAUGGUGGGGGUUGGAAAGUUUCGGCGGUUGGGGAUGGACUCGCGGCUUAUCAGCUUGUUGGUGGGGUAGUGGCUUACCAAGGCUUUGACGGGUGGCCGGCCUGAGAGGGUGACCGGCCACAUUGGGACUGAGAUACGGCCCAGACUCCUACGGGAGGCAGCAGUGGGGAAUAUUGCACAAUGGGCGGAAGCCUGAUGCAGCAACGCCGCGUGCGGGAUGACGGCCUUCGGGUUGUAAACCGCUUUCGCCUGUGACGAAGCGUGAGUGACGGUAAUGGGUAAAGAAGCACCGGCUAACUACGUG
rnacentral:rRNA from 1 species